rnacentral:rRNA from 1 species
UACAGGGGGAUAACACUUAGAAAUAGGUGCUAAUACCGCAUAAGCGCACGGUUCCGCAUGGAACAGUGUGAAAAACUCCGGUGGUAUACGAUGGAUCCGCGUCUGAUUAGCCAGUUGGCGGGGUAACGGCCCACCAAAGCGACGAUCAGUAACCGGCCUGAGAGGGUGAACGGCCACAUUGGGACUGAGACACGGCCCAAACUCCUACGGGAGGCAGCAGUGGGGAAUAUUGCACAAUGGGGGAAACCCUGAUGCAGCGACGCCGCGUGAGUGAAGAAGUAUCUCGGUACGCAAAGCUCUAUCAGCAGGGAAGAAAAUGACGGUACCUGAUUAAGAAGCCCCGGCUAACUACGUGCCAGCAGCCGCGGUAAUACGUAGGGGGCAAGCGUUAUCCGGAUUUACUGGGUGCAAAGGGAGCGUAGACGGCAGCGCAAGUCUGGAGUGAAAUGCCGGGGCCCAACCCCGGAACUGCUUUGGGAACUGUGCAGCUCGAGUGCAGGAGAGGUAAGCGGAAUUCCUAGUGUAGCGGUGAAAUGCGUAGAUAUUAGGAGGAACACCAGUGGCGAAGGCGGCUUACUGGACUGUAACUGACGUUGAGGCUCGAAAGCGUGGGGAGCAAACAGGAUUAGAUACCCUGGUAGUCCACGCCGUAAACGAUGAUUACUAGGUGUCGGGGGGCCAAGGCCCUCCGGUGCCGGCG